AUGGCAGGCAACUCUCCACAUUCAGAACAGUCUUUGAGGAAUAAUUUAUCUUCCAUUCCACGGCUCCUAACUUCUGUGAACCCAUGGUACAUACAUACUAAAGGGACUGUAAAUGCACUGAAAGUGAAAAAGAAAGAGUCAGAGACGGAACAAGUGUGUCAUCAGGAUGUUGAUACCUAUGUGAACACCUGUCUUUUGUCCUUUGCAGAAUUCAUUAUUGACAAGUGUGAGUGUGUCCGUUGUCCCGAUGGCUACUACUUGUACAUGCAGAACGGCCUUCCGAAGUGUGACCGCUGCAGCGACGCCUGCUCAGUUGACCAGCACUUGACGCAGGUGAAAGAAUGCGGCCGGGACUCAAACCGCGAGUGCCACUGUGACAGUGGCUUUUUCUGUGAAAUCGCUGCCCAGUAUACCUGCAGGAGGUGUAAGCCGUGCUCGCCCGGAACCUUCUCUAACAAACCAAACCUAACCAUGUCCUGCAAACCCCACACAGAUUGUGGCCAUAAGGGAAUGACUAUGGUGACAGAGGGCACUGCUACUCAGGAUCGUUUAUGUGCCCAGACCUCCCCUAACUCUCCUACAACCACUGCGCCUCCAACUGUCCACAGCUCAGAGAUAGGCUUUCAUUCUUCUACCUACAGUGGAGUCAGCACCACCCGAAAACCCCUCAUCAUAGCAUCCCCAUCUGGCCUGGUGGGGUCUACAUCUCCUGAUGCCUUUCCCAUAGCCACAAUUGACACAUCUGCAGACCCUUCACCAGCCUUACUCACCAGGCCUUCUUUGUCCCAAGCCCAUAGCGAGCCCUCUACCUCCCUCCCAACUAGGAAACAAGUCACUGAACACAGCUCCUUUGACCCCAACACAAAGCUCACCACCAGGAGAAACCCCAGCAAGGUGGACAGUAACACCUCACCUGCAGAGUCUGCCUCUGUACCUCUUACCACAGAUGACAAUGACUCACCUCAUCUCCCAGCAACAGAUACUGGACCGAGCCCUUCCACUCUCCCAUGGCUGCUGCUGAUAGGUGGGCUACUAGGGGUUGUCGUGCUGCUGGUUGUUUACUUUGUCCGUUGUAAGGAGAGGUCACUGAAGUCCCUAGACAAGUGGAAAGGUCCAGUAUUUGGUAUAAAUGCCCAGCCACCACAGGAGAGUUGCCCAUACACGGAGGCCCAGCAUCUUCUGGGGUGUGAGACUGGGGGAAAUCCUAGACAGGAUGGUGCAGGGUGGCUACCUCCAGGGGUCAUGAAGCAGGUCACAGUGGACCACUCUGGUGGAGAGAACAUUAGCAACACAGUGGGGUCCAUUUACAUCUACUCUCCGGGGACGGUUGUCCUGGGAUACAACAAGUCGGAGAGGAAGGUGGAUCAAGUCAAGAGUGGGGUAGAGGGCUGUCCCCUCACCAGAACACCCCAGCAGGAGUCCUCCUGCCCCCUCCCUGAGGGCCCUGCUCUGGGGCCAGAGAGAAUGAGUACACAGGAGGAGACCUGCAAAGAGCUGAGAUACCCCAUCCCGGCCACCAGCAACUGA
rnacentral:lncRNA from 13 species